CGCGGGGUGGAGCAAUGGGUAGCUCGCCAGGCUCAUAACCUGGAGGUUGCAGGUUCAAGUCCUGCCCCCGCUA
rnacentral:tRNA from 1 species